UCUUCAUCACAUCCUCGCGACUAAUGACAACCCUAACCCACUCUCCUGCGGGUAAAGCCUCUCAUUAGCCGCGCGAACCUCUGCAAUAAAGAUCACACUCAGCAACAAUACAUUAGUUUCCAUAGAAUUGCUGCCGUCUGGUUGAAAAAAGGGGCCCUUACAGGCCCCUUUUU
rnacentral:sRNA from 1 species